GCCAUGCCGAUAAGACAAUUGACAAGGUGUCCGAUGGUAACUUAGAAUAGGAUCAGGUGAUCGCAGGCCUAUAUGGCUUGUGGCGGCUCGUAUCACAGAACAGAUGGCUAAACUGUAAAAUGUACCUGCACUUGCUCCGAGCUGAGUUUCAAGUUGUUUAGAACCUGAAAAUCAACUCAGACAUCGGUCCACGAUUGUCAUUCAACUCAACUACGGGAACUUCUACUUCCCCUCCAUCAUCAGCCAGACCGUUAGAUCUAUCUCCAUCAGGGGCGAAAGCUGACUUGUUUGACAGGGUAAUCAA
rnacentral:lncRNA from 1 species